UUUGCACUUUUUUAAACACAA
ensembl:piRNA 21ur-9235 ncRNA